CGCGUAGGCGGAUUGGAAAGUUGGGGGUGAAAUCCCAGGGCUCAACCCUGGAACGGCCUCCAAAACUCCCAGUCUUGAGUUCGAGAGAGGUGAGUGGAAUUCCGAGUGUAGAGGUGAAAUUCGUAGAUAUUCGGAGGGACACCAGUGGCGAAGGCGGCUCACUGGCUCGAUACUGACGCUGAGGUGCGAAAGUGUGGGGAGCAAACA
rnacentral:rRNA from 1 species